AAGAGAAAUACUGGGUCAUAUGGUAAUCCUACUUUAAAUUUUUGAGCAAUUACCAAACUGCUUUUCACAAUAAUUGAACCAUUUUACAUUCUCACCAGCAAU
rnacentral:pre_miRNA from 1 species